rnacentral:tRNA from 1 species
GGGGAUUUAGCUCAGUGGUAGAGUGCUUGCCUAGCAUGUGCAAGGCCCUGGGUUCAGUCCCCA